UGAGGAAUAUUGGGCAAUGCCCGCAAGGGUGACCCAGCAACGCCGCGUGGAGGAUGAAUGUCGUAAGAUUGUAAACUCCUGUUAGAGGGGAAGAAUAGUACCGGUUGGACCGGUAUAUGACUGUACCCUCAGAGAAAGCCCCGGCUAACUACGUGCCAGCAGCCGCGGUAAUACGUAGGGGGCAAGCGUGGUCCGGAUGUACUGGGUGUAAAGGGCGCGCAGGCGGGAUAAAAAGUCAGUGGUGAAAUCCUACAGCUUAACUGUAGAACUGCCUUUGAUACUUUUAUUCUUGAGUUCGGUAGAGAGAGACGGAAUUCCAGGUGUAGUGGUGAAAUACGUAGAUAUCUGGAAGAACACCAGUGGCGAAGGCGGUCUCUUGGUCCGAUACUGACGCUGAGGCGCGAAAGCGUGGGGAGCAAACA
rnacentral:rRNA from 1 species